AAUCGAAAAGUCAAACUGCCUGUGAAGGUAGGACGGAAAACCACGGGUCUUUAAAAGAAAGCCGGGUUGCCAAGG
rnacentral:ncRNA from 1 species